AUGUAUAUCCCAAAUUGUGUUUCUCCAUUUAUUGUCAAUGGAUACUUGGGUUGCUUUCAACUUUUGGCUAUUGUGAAUCAUGCUGCUGUGAAUAUGAGUGCACAAAUAUGUGUUAGGGUCUCUGCUUUCAAUUUCCUCAAAUAUGUACCCAGAAGUGGACUUGCUAUGUCAUAUAGUCAUUCUACAUUCAGUUAUUAUUGUUUUUGCUUUUGUUUCAGAGGGGGUCUCACGCCAUUGCCUGGAAUGAAGUGCUGUGGUAUGAUCAUAGCUCACUCCAGGCUUGACCUCCUGGGCUCAAGCAGCGCUCCCACAUUCUUAGUUAGGACUACAGACUUUCAAAUUAAGUCUCUGAGUGGACGUCCAACUUGUUAAUUCCCAGCACCAAAAUCUGAGCAACCCACUGCACCAGCUAAAACAGUGAUGUCAAGAUUCUUGGUGCUUUUCUGCCCGGGAGUCUCGGGUCUGGCUUCCCUCCUGAAUCCCUUCCUGAAUCAGCUGAAUGGGCGACUCUGCCUUCCUGGAGCUCCAAACAUUGACCAAAAAGGGACUCAGUCCCAUUUACUCUGCACCAAGAACCACCGUGCCAGCCACAAGAGUCGCGCUGGUGGCCCAUGGGGCUCCUCCACUGGGAAUCUCCUGGUCCAUGAGCAACAAAAUUUCAUCUGAAAGUGUGGUGUCCUCUCGUUCUCUGCACUUUCACUGGGAGCUACAAGCCUGAGCUGCUAGUGAUCGGCCAUCUUGGAUCUCUCUCCCCGUCAACUCUCUGGUGGGUUCUUAAGAGUAUCUUUUUAAAAGAAAGAGGAAGGAUGAAAGAAGGUGAAGAAGGAAGGAAAGAAAGGAGGGAGGAAAGAACGGAGGGAAGAAGGAAAGAGAAAGAGUGGAAAGAUACGUUGUAAAUGUAAAAUGUUCAUACUUUAAGGCACAUAAUUUGUGCAAAGUAAAUAGGAUUUGUUGCCUGUGACUAACAGUACUUGCCUCACCUCCAUUGUUUCUGAGAAAUGAAGGCAUUACCAAAGUUGUAUAUUCUGGGACAUGUUUGGAUAAUAGCAACUUUCCUUGAGAUACAACAAAGAAUUUACUCUAGAAUUAAGACAGAGUCAAAAUGUUAAUGUAUUUUGGUCACCUUACUAAGCAGAGUUCAUUACGCAGCCACAUUGCUGCAGGCUGCUCCUGCCAAAAGAAGCAUGCAAGGGACUAGAAGGUUCAGGCCCAGACUGUCCCUAAAGUGUCUGAGACCUGAGUUAGGCACAGGGAUUCACAUUAGGGUAAAUCCAAACGUGAAAGUAGAAUGUAGGAAGGCCUGGGUCUGCUCCUUAGAAAAAGUCAUUCAAUUCCUGUCGGGCUCUAUUUCCUCCCCUAAAAAAAAAGACAGACUGUAAUUUUGGAUUAUGAUGGUUGCAUGUGCCUGGUAUAAAGAAGAAAAUUAUUUUUUCUUUUCUUUUUUCUUUUUUUUGAGGGGGGAGAUGGAGUGUCUCUCUGUAACGCAAGCUGGAGUGCAAUGGCAUGACCCAGGCUUACUGCAACCUCCACCUUCUGGAUUCAAGUGAUUCUCCUGCCUCAGCCCCACCAAGUAGUUGGGACUACAGGCAUGCAACACCACAUUCGGCUAAUUUUUGUAUUUUUAGUAGAGAUGGGGCUUCGCCGUGUUGGCCAGGCUGGUCUCAAACUCCUGACCUCAGUGAUCCACCCACCUCGGCCUACCAAAGUGCUGGGAUUACAGGUGUAAGCCAUCAUGCCUGGCCCAAAGUAGGAAAGUAACCUAUAUUCAUUUUCUUACCUCUUCCCUCCUUCACCUCCACAAAGGGGAGAACUGCUCAUCACGCUCACCUAGGGAUGAGUGUACCUUUUCCUCCUCCUCAGAGAAGAUUUGAAAAUGGAUGACAGGAAAUGGAUCUGUGGGUUUUGAGGGCAGACAGAGCACCUUGAUCCUGCAUGGCCACUUACUGUUUGUGGGACCUUGAGCAAAAGAUGCAACUUAUCUGAGCUCAGUUUUAGCUGUCACAUGACAAUAACAGCUCUUUAGGUUUUUUCAAAGCUUACAUGAAAUAAGACAUGAAGUAAUUUAAGUGUUAAGCACAUGGGCCAUGCGCCAUAAAGACUGGGUAUCAUCAUGUACUUGGCUCAGAAAAUGAGGGCCAUUAUUAUUAUUAAUUCAUUUAAAACAUGAAUUAUUGAGGUAAAACCAUCGUCCUCUAUAUGGGGUUAUGGUCUCAUUUUUUAAAAUCCGAUGUCAACCAGUAAAGACUUUAUUUUUAUAUCAGUUGGCAGGUGUCCCCAGGAAUACCAAUCAGAGCUGUUACUGUGCCCUGGCAUGGGAGUUCCCUGACAGCUGUGGGAACAGUCGGGUAGGGGAUGGGGGAAGAGGUGAGUGGAGUGAUCCAGACUUCUGCUUGGAGCUGGGAUCUGCAAUCACAGCCCAUGGAAAUUACUAGGCUUACUUUAGCAUUCAUUCAUUUGUUUAAUAAAUAUGUACUGAGCACCAACAAGCAUUGUUUGGGAUUUUGAAUGGAGCACAGAAGAGACUCCUGCCCCCUCAAAGUUUAUAAUUCAGUUGGAGAAACAGACGAUAAACAAGAAAGGAGCCCAAUAAACUGGUAAUUACCAAGUGUUAUGUGUUAUGAUGAAAAAAAUGGGGUUUUCUGGGAGAAUAAUAAAAGUGGGAGAAUUUAGUUCAGGGACAAGGAAGACCUCUCCAAGAAAGCGUUCUCUGAGUCUGAAAGAAGAGGAGGAAUUAGCUAAGUGGCAAGUGCCCUCCCCACCC
rnacentral:lncRNA from 1 species